rnacentral:lncRNA from 1 species
GCUGCUGAAGUUUGAGAACAAUGUCGUGCAGAUAAGAUAUAUAGACGUUGAAGGACAAGACAAAACCAUACUGAUUUUCAAGCUUUUCAAAAAUAGAAUAUCGUGCAUUACCCUAAAGGAAUGAAAUAAUAAAUCGGCGUGGCAGAUAAAAAACGGCAAUACCAUUGACCACAUAAUCCUUCCACCUGUCAUAUACUACGUAUUGAGUUUUAUGAAAAUAACUUCCAAAAUUGAUAUCUAGUUAUAGAUGUAACUAUAACUUUCUCCCAUACGUUCUCAAUAUAAAAAUCUCCUACUAAAUAUCUGAAUGAUAUGAUAUUUCACUCUACUGUCAUGAAAUGAAUUCAUGCUUAUAGUUUACCCUACCCAUAUCAUUCAUACUUCCGUCGUGUUUUACAAAAUGUUCGGUGUUUUACAGUACCAAUAUGAUUCAUGUAAUUUGCAUUCCAUACAUAAUGUUAGUGGUAUUUUUGUAUAUCAAACUCACAUUUCAGUGUGUUGAUAUUCAAUUAGUUACACCUGUUAUAAUCACUUCCAACUAUGCACCAUUGAAUCCGACUAAGUUUUAUUUCAGAGCAAGGCGAAUUUCAAGACCUGAGAGGUAUGGAUAAAAUUCAAUUAGAAGAAUAACAACCUGGAACGAAACCAGCCAUAAUUUGAUCCUGAACAGCAAAGAACUUAUCAAUGCAAUUGUGUCUAAAUUGCCAUAUUCCAAUAAUCAAGAAACUCAGCUAAAAAUAAAAUUGCUAAAAAACAAUUAAUGUGGUUAAUGUCACUGGAUAAGCACUCAAAUCUAAAAGGAAAAUAGAAUAUAGACAAAUUAAUUCACAAAUUCCACCAUCUUUAACAAGAUUUUACACCAUAAAAUAGCAGAUAUGAACAAGGAUGAACAAUGAAAAAUUAUAUUCUUAGCCUUUAUCCAUUAACCAAAAAAUAUGCUUUUCACAAGAAAAAAAAGAAAGAAACCUUCAAGAAUUAUGGUCCAGAUUACAGCCGAUAAUCAUAAAUCAAGUACUCAUAUCAGAUAGCAACAUCAAAGAUCAAUGAUUUUUUUUUUCUUUUACAAUUUCGAAAACUAUAAAAAAGAAACAAUGGGAAGAAAAAUCAUAACCCACAUAAGAGAAAGAACGACCCAAUUGAAUCCAGUAACCCAGAAACAUAAAGCACCACACAAUCAAGAAAAUUAAGAAAUUAAGUAGACCUUUCAAGGUAAUUUUAGACUCACAGUGGCGUAGUUUCCGUGUGCGUGAGAGAGGGGUUGUUGGAGAGAGGUGAGUGAGUGAGUGCGUGGGUGGGUGAGAUGGAGAAGUAUAACGUGGACUAAAUGUGCCGGAGCUUCUGUUAAUUAUAAUUAUAAUUAUAUUAUAGUAGAAGAAAAGAGUUGCCGUGGAAGUAUGAAGAAAGUAUUUAAUCAUAAUUACGAAAUUACCAUUCAUUCCG